GGGACAACCUAGCGAAAGUUAGGCUAAUACCGCAUACGCUCGAGAGAGGAAAGUGGGGGAUCGCAAGACCUCACGCUUUAGGAGCGGCCGAUAUCAGAUUAGCUAGAUGGUGAGGUAAAGGCUUACCAUGGCGACGAUCGGUAGCUGGUCUGAGAGGAUGAUCAGCCACACUGGGACUGAGACACGGCCCAGACUCCUACGGGAGGCAGCAGUGGGGAAUUUUGGACAAUGGGGGCAACCCUGAUCCAGCCAUUCCGCGUGAGUGAAGAAGGCCUUCGGGUUGUAAAGCUCUUUUGUUCGGGACGAAACGGUUUUGGUGAAUACCCAAGACUACUGACGGUACCGGAAGAAUAAGCACCGGCUAACUACGUGCCAGCAGCCGCGGUAAUACGUAGGGUGCGAGCGUUAAUCGGAAUUACUGGGCGUAAAGCGUGCGCAGGCGGUUUUGUAAGCCAGAUGUGAAAGCCCCGGGCUCAACCUGGGAAUGGCAUUUGGGACUGUAAGGCUGGAGUAUGGCAGAGGAGACUAGAAUUCCUGGUGUAGCAGUGAAAUGCGUAGAUAUCAGGAGGAAUACCGAUGGCGAAGGCAGGUCUCUGGGCC
rnacentral:rRNA from 1 species